CGUGAUAAUAUCAGCAGWGUGAUGACGGUACCACAUAGAAGAAGCACCGACUAACUCCGUGCCAGCAGCCGCGGUAAUACGAGAGGGUGCAAGCGUUAUUCGGAAUUACUGGGCGUAAAGAGCGCUGUAGGCGGUCUAUUAAGUCAGUAUGUGAAACCCCGGGGCUCAACCUGAGGAAGUGCAGUUUGAUAACUGGUAGGGUACUUGAGUAUGGGAGAGGRAAGUGGAAUUCCUGGUGUAGCAGGUGAAAUGCGUAGAUAUCAGGAGGAACACCAGUGGCGAAGGCGACUUCCUGGACCAAUACUGACGCUGAGGCGCGAAAGCGUGGGGAGCAAACAGGAUUAGAUACCCUGGUAGUCCACGCHGUAAACGAUGARCACUAGGUGUWGCGUGUAUUGACCCCUGCWGUGCCGAACGUAACGCAUUAAGUGUUCCGC
rnacentral:rRNA from 1 species